rnacentral:rRNA from 1 species
CUACGGGCGGCAGCAGUGGGGAAUAUUGCACAAUGGGGGAAACCCUGAUGCAGCAACGCCGCGUGGAGGAUGACACAUUUCGGUGCGUAAACUCCUUUUAUAUAAGAAGAUAAUGACGGUAUUAUAUGAAUAAGCACCCGCUAACUCCGUGCCAGCAGCCGCGGUAAUACGGAGGGUGCAAGCGUUAGUCGGAAUCACUGGGCGUAAAGGGUGCGUAGGCGGUUUGGAAAGUCAGGCGUGAAAGCCCGGGGCUCAACUCCGGAACUGCACUUGAAACUUCCAGACUAGAAUACUGAAGGGGCAGAUGGAAUUAGUGGUGUAGGGGUAAAAUCCGUAGAUAUCACUAGGAAUACCGAAAGCGAAAGCGAUCUGCUGGGAAGUUAUUGACGCUGAGGCACGAAAGCGUGGGGAGCAAACAGGAUUAGAUACCCCUGUAGUC